UUGUAUGAAGUUUGUAUCUAUAUAUUUUCAAACUAUUUUCCAUCCUUAAAGUGUCAAAACCGAUAUCAUAUUAUUUUUUACCUCGUUGGCAAAGUUAUUAUCUUUUCUUAUGUUUCGCUUCAAAAUGGUAUCUUUAUAUUUGCUUGUCUUGCUCCUCCACCCCUUAUCAAAAUACCCUGCCGGCACUUGAUCUAAGAUUAUUUUCUUUUACUAUACUUGAACCUUAUAAAGGGAUCUUUCCUUCGAUCGCAAGAAAGGAUAAAAUGUGUGUUUUUGAAAAGAAAUAAAAUUAAAAAUACAUAGGAUUGGAGCUGUGAUUUUCCUCAUUGCUUUCUUUGUCAUCCUACUUGCAUACUAGUAGGCCUAUAUAACAUAUUUUCAGUAAAAUUGUGAGACAUGUUUUUAAAUCCUAUCCUUAUAUUAAAAAAAAGAAUAAAGAGAAAGAAAAAAAUUAAAAGACAUAGAAAAGAAAAAGAAAGGAAGAAGAAAUAAAUAUUUGAAUUUUACUUUAUUCAAUUCCUUUACGUUAAUAAUAUGAUAUAUAAAUGAUGGCGAAAAUAGUCAAAUUGUCUGGUUUCCAAGUAAAAAGUAAGACCCCCCCCCCCCUCCGAGCUCCCCGUACAAACGUACAGUACAAACGCACGGACUGUACCGUAUACGUGUUUCCGGUUCCGCCAUUUGAAAAAAAACGUUCGUAACUGCUCAGCUGAACCCGAAGCUUGAUGAAGAAGGCCGUCAAUAUUUCAACAAAAACUAACAGAAUAUGGAUCAGAUUCGGACAACGACUUCUUAAGACAUUCACACAACAGGCUAAACAAUUCAAAGAGGGAUCUCUGGAUGAUCGAGCAGCAAGUCCAGCAUUAUGUGGGAAAGAUACUACAGGUGUACACAGAAAAGGCCAUGUUCUUGUACAAGACACGGUUGGAAUUCAUAAAAGAUUAAGCUGCCUCGUGCUAUACAGACUUGGAUAAAAACAAGCUGUCCAAUGAAUGGUGACUACUCAAGAGGAGCCAGAAAGUCAACUAAAGCCAGGGUAUUUUGGGAGUUGAUAUGGCUGGGGAAGGGGGGAGGGGGGGUUUCCAGGGCCCCCCCUUCCUUGAGAUCUUGACCGCACAAUCGCGUCUAACAUUGGCACAUGGGUUGUCUAGGGCAUAAUUUACAAAAUUAAAUUGUAAAUUAUUUCACGCAAAUUGUUAGUAAGUGAUAAUACUAAUUUAUGCGUAAUUAGAAUACAAAAUCAUACUUUUUCCUCUAUUGCAUUGACUUUGUACACAAAAUCACGUUUUUGAGCAAUUUUUGGUAUGACAUGUACUUACAUAAUGUCACGUUAUUACAGAACCACGUACCGGGUGACACAAGAUUGGUCUCAAAAGAUGCACAAGACUAGAAAGAGGCAUGUUUUAAAAAAAUUGUGCGACAGCAUGGUCGCAAAAUUUUUGGAAGGGGGGGGGGUCAAAUUGGUCCAAUUUAACUAAGGGUUAAUAACUGGGAGGCUGUUAGCUGCCUUUUUACUUUCAAGUCUUGCACAUCUUUUGAGACCAAAUUUGUGAUGCCUGGGUACGCUGUUCCGAAAUUUCGCAACAUUUUUAUGUAUUAAUCCAACACAAAUACUGUUUCUUGCUAAAAAUUCACAAUUAGUAUACCAGUAAUAUACAUUUAUCAAGUCAAAUUAUUUAAUCACAUUUAUAAUCAUAAAAGCUUUGAUAAAGUAUAAAAAAAAAACAAAGAGUUGUAUGUAGGCCUGGGACUUUCGGGUUUUUUCUCUUCGGGUACCCGUGGUAAUUUUCGGGUACCUGAAAAUCAUGUCACUUGAAAUAUGACUGGUGGAAAAACCCCAUAGGUGACGUCAUCAAGCCAAUGCGAUGCAAGCCAAUUUAUGAAUGAAAAUAUAGUAAGCAUGCGCAUUGCAAGCCUCCCGUGCCCCACGCAGUAUUCCAUCGAAACAAGUUUCAAUACUCUGUCACCUCGUACCAAAAUCGACCUAGAAUUCCACUUUCCUAUAUAUCAUAUGAAUUAUAAAAGGUUUUCUUACCGAUACUGCACAGGUAAGCAAAUUUUUAUUCUUGCUUUUCCGUCAAAAUCUUACGAAGUAGCAUCGAUAUUACAUCGUGUUUGUGAGUUUGUAUCGCUACGUGAACAAAGUCAAUUGAUUUCCGGGUUUCGGAGCGUCAAAUGCGCCAGCCAAUCACGAUCGUGUUCCCAUUUUCGGUUUAUGAUGAACUAAAAAUGGUAACAAGAACGUGAUUGGCUGGUGCUUCGUAGGUCGAUUUUGGUAUGAGGUGACAGAGUAUUGCAGACUUGUUUUGACGUAAUACUGCGUGGGGCUGAGGCUUGCAAUGCGCAUGCUUACUAUAUUUUCAUUCAUAAAUUGGUUUGCGUCGCAGUGGCUGGAUGACGUCACUGCGCUGCAAAAGAAACAUGGCGAUGAUUGAACGAUCUCGGUCACAUCAUCAUCACUUGAAAACUUGUAUAUUUAUGGAUAUUUAGAGGGUAAUUGGUGAAAUUCAAAAUGAGGCUUGUGUACUUUUGUAAUGAGUUACAAUCAUGUCUUACACUACGCAAUACAAAUCAAAUACAUGUACAUUAUACUGGUGAGCAAUUUUCGGGUAUCGGGUAUUGAUUUUUCUACUCGGGUACCCGGGUUUUAGUCCCAGCCCUAGUUGUAUGAAAAUUUUCAAAAAUAAUGAAAGGUAAAAGAAAACAAGAUUACAAUGUCCAUUGCAAGGGGGCUAGUCUAGCUAUUCAGGAUAAUUGGGAUUUUAUUCAGUUUUUAAUUGACAUAACAUUAUGACAAGAUCCCUCCAUUUAGUGUAUAAACAGCACAUGGCCAUGAUUGAAAUUCAUAUAACAUUAAAGUAUGCAAACCAGGCAGCUACAUGUACAUGUAGGACUCACUGCUUGUCAAUUCUAUUGUCUGCCAGGGUCAAGUGACAUACAGUGCACAUGUAUAACAUGUGUGAAAGUACAUAAGAAAAUCAGCUUUUUAUUUUUGUACUGUAACAUUGGGUGAACUGGUGAUCACUUUGGAUAUGAUGCUCUUCAUAUUGGUUUAUUUUAUGUAUAUGAAUUUUUGGAUAAUCAUUAAGAAUUAAAGCCAUUUACUUGAUAUAUGGAAGCAUAAGCCCAUCAAAGAACAGAAUUAUGUCAUGUACAGCUAAUUCAUUUUGCGUGAUAUUACAAUUGUAAUUGUUUACUUGAGCAAGUAAUUUGAAUUGCUGCAUGACCUAAACAAUGACAUGUUCCAAUUCGAAUAGUAACAUGACCUAAAGAAGAGUUACUCCACCUCGAUUGAGAGUGCUUAUGUUAAAUAAUUGAUGUUGCUACUUCAAAUAAUUGAGGUCAAUCAAAUUGGUCAUAAUUAUUCAAGUCAAUUUUGAGCUAUAUGUCAUAAUUAAUUAGGUCAUAUACUAAUUGAAAUUACUAAAUGACUCGAGUAGGUAUGAAUUCACAUUGCCACAUGACCUUAAUUAUUUUAUGUAGCAACAUCAAGUAUUGAACGUCAUUUAGUUAUCAAUUAUGACAUGUAGCAAAUCAAAUUACAUGCCGCAAUUUCGUGUUUAUGAUGGGCUCAUGCUUACAUUCAUAUAUAACCCUUCAAUACGUAGUUGGAGCAAUUCUUAGACAAGAAGACUGUGUAAAAUGAUAUGCCUAUUCAAUGUCAAAAAGGUUAAUGUCUCAAUAGAUUUGAUCUACGUUUUGGCAAAGUAAUCUUAUGUUCAUAUUUUUUCUAACCUAUGGUGAACGUUCUAAAUCAUGUGAAAUUCAUUCAAAAAUAUCUUUCAGUAUUUAUGGACUUAAGUGAAUUCUGAGCAAAAUGAAGUGAUUAUGAUUACGUUCAUGUACUUUAAGUUUAUACUGGUGAUCAACACAUCAUAAUUUCAUCCCUUACUGUAUGUGCACCAUGCAUUAUCUGUACAUGCAGAAGUGGUUAUCCAUUGUUUCAUAACAUGGUUGAGUAAAGGAUGUUCUGCUUUUAGUAUUAAGCCAAUCGGGUGUUGACAAGAAGGGGAAAAUGCAAUUGCUCAGCUAUUACAGUUUUUUUUGCAACCAUAAUACUGGUUAAGCCUUGGUUACAUUCGCCGGCUCGUGGCCUUACGUCGAGUCAAAAUUAACAGUCUUAAUCAUCCUUGUACCAGCUACUACCAGCUACACGUGGGUGGUUUGUACAGGAAUACCUAAAACUGCUGAUUUUGUCUCGCCGUAAGGCAACCGGUCAAGGAAUGUGACCAAGGUAUUAAUAAUAAUCGCUUAUUGUUGUGUUAGAGGGAAGGAUUCUGGGUCGAAUCUAGCUUUCUUUAUGUGAUCUCAAAAUGGCAGCAAUGUAUGAAUAGUGAAAGUAGUUCAUGUGGCAUCUCAAUGUUCAUGGAUAUAAAUCUUUGUACAUGUCUUAUCCUAAAGAUGAAAUGUUACUGCAUUAUUCUAGCAGUCAUUUAUGAUAUCAAAGAUGUUCUAUACUGUGCAUAGUACAGCUCAUACAUAAUAAAGGUAUGUGAAUAUGCUUUUAA